rnacentral:lncRNA from 10 species
AUUUGCUCCCUGGAAGCUGGGGAACCUUGCUUGGCAGUCACUAGGAAACUAGCUUAGAAAAACAGCCUCCCCGGCACCUGUGCCAGCAGGCAGGAAUCCACCUGCUUUUUCCAAAAGUGUUUGCCUGUAGGGAGACUGCCUGAGGCCCACGUAAAUUCAGAAAUUUCUGGGGUUUGGCUUAGCAGGCCCAGAGGGCCCCGGAAGACACUGAGUGAUUUCCCUCUGUGGCGUCCGUGAGAGUCAGUGUCACUGCUGGGCCCUCACCCUGGUAUACCAGGCAACCAGGAAGAAGGGAUGCCUGCUGCUGUAAGCCUGUGCCAGCAACACAGAGACCCAGGCCUUCAGCCCAAGCGGGGCUCUGUGCCUCCAUCGGAAACAUGAACCAGAUUUCCUUGUAAUGGGCUCCAUAUUUAGGCCCAGCAGCCUUAGAUGUCUGGCCAAUAGGAAAGCUAUGUCCUUCCUGCACAAUUUCAGCCCUAAGAAUCUGUGACUCUCCCUCCCUGGAGGCCUAGAGAACAAGAGGAGGGAGGGCUUGAAAUCAAUAAAUGGAUUGCACACCUGCAGGGCUCUGCCAUUUGUCAUCUGUGAGCUACGCAGCCAUUCUGGGGCUUACGCUAUCCUGAGCUGCGUGUGUUUCCAUGGUCUCCCAUUAUGCUCCACUUUGACCCCUCAAAAUAUUGUUUCAACUUCCAGGAGGCUGGAUGAUGGGGAGAGAGAGGCAAAGAGAGAGGGAGGGAGCAAGGGAGUUGGCAGAAUGAGAGAGGGAGCAUGUCCAAAAAUGCCGGCUCCAGCCAACUGUAUCAGAUGCCAGCUGCCAAUACCACCCUGGUCCCUCUGAGGUCAGCCAGGUAGCUGGAGCCCUUCCUUGCCUUCCAGGCAAACAGGCUGCUACUCCAAGGGAAAACAGCCCUCAAAUGCAGCCCUGCUCGGCUUCUCAGAAGGCUAGGGAGGAGAAAGGGGAUUGAAUUAACCAAGAUAUCCAACAUAUCGUCUCCAGGGUGAAGUAGAAAAUCAACAGCAUGACCUUUAAGGCCACUCACUCAUUCACUCCAAGAUAAAUUCUAUAGGUGCCCAUGGUGUGCUGGGGAGGAGAGGGGAGGGGAACGGACAGCUCCUACCCCUAGGAGCUUUGUGUCACCCAUGUCAUCAGCCGAAGUGCUGGCUUAAUAGACGGAACU